rnacentral:rRNA from 1 species
AUGCACGCUGGCGGCGUGCCUAAUACAUGCAAGUCGAGCGAACAGACGAGGAGCUUGCUCCUCUGACGUUAGCGGCGGACGGGUGAGUAACACGUGGCUAACCUACCUAUAAGACUGGGAUAACUUCGGGAAACCGGAGCUAAUACCGGAUAAUAUAUUUAACCCCAUGGUUCAAUUGUGAAAGACGGUUUUGCUGUCACUUAUUGAUGGAUCCGCGCCGCAUUAGCUAGUUGGUAAGGUAACGGCUUACCAAGGCAACGAUGCGUAGCCGACCUGAGAGGGUGAUCGGCCACACUGGAACUGAGACACGGUCCAGACUCCUACGGGAGGCAGCAGUAGGGAAUCUUCCGCAAUGGGCGAAAGCCUGACGGAGCAACGCCGCGUGAGUGAUGAAGGUCUUCGGAUCGUAAAACUCUGUUAUUAGGGAAGAACAAAUGUGUAAGUAACUAUGCACGUCUUGACGGUACCUAAUCAGAAAGCCACGGCUAACUACGUG